CUCUCCCUCCUGUGACACUGUCACCCGCAGGAGCAGAUCUGAACGCUCAGAAAGCCACACGUAGUUGCGGGUACGAACAUUUCCCUUAAUGAUCGUCCCCGGCCUCUGCUGCACCUCAGUCAUUCUGUGAGGGUUCGAUGUGGAGAUUCCACGUCUGGAGAAAAGGAGAAAAGAGACACGGCCUGUUGGAGAAAGGCCAUCAAGACAGGAGCUUACGAGAGAUCAGACUCCAGGCAGGACGUGAUUGUUGGCCUGGAGACGCCGGGAGAGAGGUUUAUUUUUCCAACCAUUACCCAUAAUUAAUCAGCACUUCCAUAGAUUAAAACACUCUUCUGAUACCAGAUAUGCUGUACAAGGUUUUUUCCUUUAAU
rnacentral:lncRNA from 1 species